AAUUUGCGGUUUGAUUUUUCCAUAGUUCGUAAGUGCCGACGUAGACACUAGGUUUCAUCUCUAGGCAGUUGUUUAGCAGUUAGUACCUAGCACAAUUUUGAGCAAUUGAAGACUAAAAUAACGACAGAAGUGAGAGCCAUAAUAUAAGUUGACGCUUUGAAGAGUGAUUACACACGUGAUGGAAAACAUUUUGUCGGCAUAAUAUUCCUUACACAAGAUCAGAAUACAUUAUAAUUUACUUUUUUUUAACCACUCACGUACGUGGGUACUACAGUACCCAAAAAAAUAAUGGCGGCAUCCGUACAUGGGUACUACAGUACCCAAAACGACGAGUUUAAGAAAAUGACAUCUAGUUCAAACAGAACGUGUUAGAGAUAAACGUUUUUAUCGACGUAGAACGAUAGCUUAGGAAAUAGUUUACCCAAUUAACUAGAUGGCAAUGAAAUAUGAACAGUUCUUUGUAAAAAAAAUCCAAAGUCGGUUGUCAUGUUCUUGUGAAUUUUCUGAACAAGUGUUUCACAAUUUCAACAAUUAUGUUAGAUGAUUUAAGAUUUUGCUGCUUUGGACGGGGCGAAUUUUCUCAGUUCCCCAAUUUGUCACAGUCCACAGACUAGCUGCCAGGAAGACGACGUUUCAACUUAGAGACACAUCGGGAACAACUCAAGAUGGGAUUCAAGUGCACAGGCGCUAAUAAAAGAUUUAAUUUGGCAUCUGGUAGAUAGUUUCGGAGACCCCAGAGCUGGAUCUUUACUCGCUCAACGAAUAAAUAUCAUACUUACGAGGAAAU